rnacentral:rRNA from 1 species
GACAGAGGUGCCGAGCGUUAGGCGGAAUCACUGGGCUUAAAGCGUGUGUAGGCGGGCGGGCAAGUACCUUGUGAAAUCCCACGGCUCAACCGUGGAACUGCUGGGUAUACUGCCUGUCUUGAGCCAGCCAGGGGCAGUCGGAACAGACGGUGGAGCGGUGAAAUGCGUAGAUAUCGUCUGGAACGCCAAAGGUGAAAACAGACUGCUGGGGCUGUGCUGACGCUGAGACACGAAAGCCAGGGGAGCGAACGGGGAUA